UGGUGUAUGAGAUGCCUUGACCAAUGAUUGAGUGGGUGAGAUUGAAGUAGCUUGCUGACAGUGAAAAUCUCUGAGAUAUUGAGGGGCUUUCCUUGUUCUAGUAGUUUUCCUAAGGGAAGAUUUGGAUGCAGGUUCUUCAUGUAAUUCAAGAGGAAAAAUGGAGGAAGGAACUACUGGAGCAGAAGAAAUGGGUGGUGGAAAUUGAUUUUCUGGAGGUAUGGGCAGAGUUGGUGUAGUGGAGGGUGGAGGAUUUGAAAAAUGGGAAGAGGAAAGAGGGU